rnacentral:tRNA from 2 species
GCCCUCAUCGUUCAGUGGAUAGGACACGGGCUUCCGGAGCCCAUAACAGAGGUUCAAGUCCUCUUGGGGGCACCA